AGCUCAGCGCGAGAAAUUCAACCGCCAUCUUGGACCGGUCAUACUCGUUGCUUAGCAGCAGAAGAUUCAAGAUGCCAGAGCACUGUGCAGCAUAUUCCUGUUCAAAUCGGCGGACCAUUGAAAACAGGGCUCGGGGGAUUACUUUUCACAACCCCCCACCAGUAGGGGGCCGCUGCUCUGAGCAGACCGAUUCCCCCGUUAGAAGAAGAAAAAGCGACGGGACCAGGACCACGCGGCUCAGCUCACGGAGAGAUGAAUCCGGGUGGAGACAUUUGAGGAGAAGAUGGAUUAGCUGCUCAUGCUCUAA